CCUAACCUAAUGCUGGCCACCAAUAGGGCUAAACAGUGUUAGCAGGUACUGUCAGCAGGCCUCAGGCAGAAGCAGACAAGAAGGGUAAGAAGUAAAGGAGAGGGAGGAAAGGAGUUGAAAGAAUAAGAGAAUGAGGUGAAAGCUGAAGUCCCCACAGAGGGAAAUGCCACAAGACUAGGCCGUGCAACAUUUCCGCAGUGCUCCUCGCUACAAAGACAUUCCCCUAAGGCUGGUGGGCAACUCAACACUCAGCUCAGUACGUGGUCAGCUCGUCCUCCAUAGGAGCCUUAUGCCUUGGUGAGGAGAUCUCUGAAGAAAUUGCUGAUGAAAGUCCAACAGGCUCUUCCAGUUUGUCUGGUCGGUCACAUUUGCUGAAACCUGGAGGAAUUGUUAGUGGAAGCUCAACAGGCCUGACUCAGUCUGACUGUCCAUUCUUCUGGAAGCUGCAGAGAAAAGAAACCUGGAAACCUUAUAUGCUGACAAAAAGGGACACAAUUGGAUAUGAUGGUUAUUUUACCAAGGUUUUGAAAUGUCGUGCUUUCAAAUAUAAACAGACUGCUUUAAGGAAUCGAAGUUGACUUAUAGAGCCAAUAAAAGCCC
rnacentral:lncRNA from 1 species